ACGACCUUACUUGAACAGGAUCUGUUCUAUAGGCUCGUACCUCUGUAUCCUUGAUUUCUAAGGAGACAGGAAACCACGUCUGGUGGAUGAACCAUGGCUGCCUGGCUUAGAGCCUGAUUAACAGCCCCUCGGGUCAGGUUUCUGGCUCGUGGUGCAGUAGAUGAUCGUUCUUGGCUCGACUCUGGUCCAGUCAAGAUGGCCGGGGCAGCUGUCUGACAGACU